GCCUGAGUGACGAAAUUGGUAGACGUAGCGGAUUCAAAAUCCGCCGGUGAAUAACCAUGUCGGUUCGAGUCCGACCUCAGGCACCA
rnacentral:tRNA from 6 species